CGUGGAGGUGUCGGGGGACCGGAUCACCGGUCUGCGGCUGGUCUCCGGCGAGCUCGUGCCGUGCCGGGCCGUGGUCGUGGUGCCGCGCUUCACGG
rnacentral:tRNA from 1 species